rnacentral:rRNA from 1 species
GACGAACGCUGGCGGCGUGCUUAACACAUGCAAGUCGAACGGUGAAGGUGGGAGCUUGCUCCUGCUGGAUCAGUGGCGAACGGGUGAGUAACACGUGAGUAACCUGCCCUUGACUCUGGGAUAAGCGUUGGAAACGACGUCUAAUACCGGAUACGAGCUUCAGCCGCAUGGCUCGGAGUUGGAAAGAUUUUUCGGUCAAGGAUGGACUCGCGGCCUAUCAGCUUGUUGGUGAGGUAAUGGCUCACCAAGGCGACGGCGGGUAGCCGGCCUGAGAGGGUGACCGGCCACACUGGGACUGAGACACGGCCCAGACUCCUACGGGAGGCAGCAGUGGGGAAUAUUGCACAAUGGGCGCAAGCCUGAUGCAGCAACGCCGCGUGAGGGACGACGGCCUUCGGGUUGUAAACCUAUUUUAGCAGGGAAGAAGCGCAAGUGACGGUACCUGCAGAAAAAGCACCGGCUAACUACGUGCCAGCCGCCGCAGUAACAC